GACGAACGCUGGCGGCGUGCUUAACACAUGCAAGUCGAACGGAAAGGCCCUGCUUUUGUGGGGUGCUCGAGUGGCGAACGGGUGAGUAACACGUGUGUAAACUGCCCUUGACUUUGGGAUAACUUCAGGAAACUGGGGCUAAUACCGGAUAGGAGCUCCUGCUGCAUGGUGGGGGAUGGAAAGUUUCGGCGGUUGGGGAUAGACUCGCGGCUUAUCCGCUUGUUUGUGGGGUAGUGGCUUACCAAGGCUUUGACGGGUAGCCGGCCUGAGAGGGUGACCGGCGACAUUGGUACUGAGAUACGGCCCAGUCGCCUACGGGAGGCAGCAGUGGGGAAUAUUGCACAAUGGGCGGAAGUCUGAUGCAGCAACGCCGCGUGCGGGAUGACGGCCUUCGGGUGGUAAACCGCUUUCUCCUGUGACGAAGCGUGAGUGACGGUAAUGAGUAAAGAAGCACCGGCUAACUACGUG
rnacentral:rRNA from 1 species